GCCAGUGUGGCAUAGUGAUUUGAGUAUUGGACUGUGAUUCUGGAAGCCAGGGUUCAAAUCCCUGCUGAGCCA
rnacentral:tRNA from 1 species